rnacentral:rRNA from 1 species
GAUGAACGCUAGCGGCAGGCUUAACACAUGCAAGUCGAGGGGUAUAGGUUUUCGGACCUAGAGACCGGCGCACGGGUGCGUAACGCGUAUGCAAUCUACCUUUCACAGAGGGAUAGCCCAGAGAAAUUUGGAUUAAUACCUCAUAGUAUAGCAGUUUCGCAUGAAACCACUAUUAAAGUUCCAACGGUGAAAGAUGAGCAUGCGUCCCAUUAGCUAGAUGGUAAGGUAACGGCUUACCAUGGCUACGAUGGGUAGGGGUCCUGAGAGGGAGAUCCCCCACACUGGUACUGAGACACGGACCAGACUCCUACGGGAGGCAGCAGUGAGGAAUAUUGGGCAAUGGACGCAAGUCUGAACCAGCCAUGCCGCGUGCAGGAUGACGGUCCUAUGGAUUGUAAACUGCUUUUGUACGAGAAGAAACAUUCCGACGUGUCGGAACUUGACGGUAUCGUAAGAAUAAGGAUCGGCUAACUCCGUGCCAGCAGCCGCGGUAAAAC